AUUUUCAGCUACCACUUACUUGAUCAUAGAAACUUUCUUAACCCCAAACCUCUCUCAUUUCAACACUUUCCUCCAACAAGAACUCCACCUGAAACAAAAAUAAUUCUCUCUAUAACCUUUCAACCCAGAACUCCCUAUUCAGCUUUAAAUUCAACCACAGGGAAGAGGAUUUCCCUCUCCUUUUUCUUCAUAUUAGACAGUUACUCACUUACCUGUUUUCAUCUAGUCUUUCCUCAGCCCCUGAUCCUGAAAGAAGCUGGUUCACAGAGCACUCACAGAGCAUCACUGAACAUGAGGAGAGUAUACCUGCAGGGAAGCUCUUUGAAGGGAAGUCAACCUUCUUUAUGUCUGUUUGAAAGUCUUACCAGCCUUCUCAGAUCUGGCCAGCUCUGGAAAACUUGUCUCAGCAGCUCUGGGUAUUUUGGUAGCAAGAACACCACUCUCCCACCAGCAUAUCAGGAGGUAUAUAUGGAGAAAUGCCACCAGAAUGUGUGACUAAGGACACGUGAGAGUGAUCAACUCCUAUCAACUACCAGCAUGGGAAACGUUUUGAAUUUAUUUCUGCUUUGGGUAGAUAACAUGCCUGAUAUUACAAAAGGCUGCUUGAUGAAAUUCUUUACUGAAAGAAUCACUGCUGCUGGGAAGCUCAGAAAUGAUUUUCAGAAACUGAAAUACGAUCACAAUGAAAAUCUCAGUUCAGCUUUCAGACAGACAUCGGUAAAAUGAUGCUUUCCUGAAAGCACGCCUAAGUGGGAAGCAGAUUGGCAACCCUUUUGGCAAAACUCUAAUGCAGCACUUCAGCAGGGGUCUUCAAAAGAAACAGAAUAACUCAGCAACACAAAGGCAGCAGAAACGCUGCAUUUCACUCCACGCGUUGUCUUCAAAAAGAGCCCGCGUACUUUGAAGAGAAUUGUAGUGGACAACGAUUAAACUGUGCAGUCAGGGGAAGAGAGCAGUGAAACCCUGGGACAUGUCUGCACCCCACCGUGCCCACACGACCCAUGGGCAGGAAGCAAGUCGGCCCAGCCUCAUGAGUGGGGUGACCCCCACAGCGCACCUCCAGCUCCGAGCUGCUCAGCCCUGCGUGGGGGCCGGGGCCUGACCAGCCUCCAGCAGCUCUCCUCCGUCUCUGACACACAGAAAUGCCCUCAGAUCGGCGUCGCGGUGAAUGGCGAAGAGCUGAGGCUUGGCUGAUUCACUCUGGAAAUACAGCACAUGUAUUUUUUUUAGCAGAAGCUGUAAUUUUACUUAAGGCUCCAAAUUUGGAUUGGGCAUCUUUCUAAAAGUUGACCUCCUGCCUAACCAGCAACUGUGGGGCAGAUGCAGAAUCACAUCCCACCUUGGAAGACCACGACCUUAAGAAUUUAUAUAUAUCAAACAUGAACUUCAUUUUGAUCCUUUCCCACUGUCCAGAGAUGUCAGAGAUCAGUUUAAUUGCAUAGCCUGUCAAGACUCCCUGGGAAUUAUGUGUAUUUUCUCUCUCUCUCUCAUACAA
rnacentral:lncRNA from 1 species